ensembl:snoRNA
GUCGAGGCUAGAGUCACACUUGGGUACUGGAGCUGCCUUGGUGUGCUCGAGUCCUUGAGGAUAACUGGUGACCUUAUUCACCGGCUGUGGGCCUCACAGCACAGUCAAGUCACCAGGUUAGUGACAUGG